GACGUAGGAUGCAAGCGUUGUCCGGAUUUAUUGGGCGUAAAGAGUUCGUAGGUGGUUUGUUAAGUCUGAUGUUAAAGACCGAGGCUCAACUUCGGAAAUGCAUUGGAUACUGGCAGACUCGAGUAUGGUAGAGGCAAGUGGAAUUCCCAGUGUAGCGGUGAAAUGCGUAGAUAUUGGGAAGAACACCCGUGGCGCAAGCGACUUGCUGGGCCAUAACUGACACUGAGGAACGAAAGCCAGGGGAGCGAAUGGG
rnacentral:rRNA from 1 species